rnacentral:rRNA from 1 species
AAUCAACGCUGGCGGCGUGCCUCAGACAUGCAAGUCGAACGCGAAAGUUCCCUUCGGGGGAUGAGUAGAGUGGCGCACGGGUGAGUAACACGUAGGUAAUCUACCUUUGGAUGGGGAAUAACAACCGGAAACGGUUGCUAAUACCGCAUAAUGCAGCGGCACCUAAUGGUGACAGUUGUUAAAGCGGGGGAUCGAAAGACCUCGCGUCUGAAGAGGAGCCUGCGGCGGAUAGCUAGUUGGUAAGGUAACGGCUUACCAAGGCGACGAUCCGUAGCCGGCCUGAGAGGGCGGUCGGCCACACUGACACUGACAUACGGGUCAG